GGUUGAUCCUGCCAGUAGUCAUACGCUCGUCUCAAAGAUUAAGCCAUGCAUGUCUAAGUAUAAACAACUCUAUACUGUGAAACUGCGAAUGGCUCAUUAUAUCAGUUAUAGUUUAUUUGAUAGUACCUUACUACUUGGAUAACCGUAGUAAUUCUAGAGCUAAUACAUGCAUCAAAUCCCGACUUUCGGAAGGGAUGUAUUUAUUAGAUUGAAACCAAUGCAGGGGCAACCCUGGUAUUGUGGUGAGUCAUAAUAACUGUGCGGAUCGCAUGGCCUCGUGCCGGCGACAGAU
rnacentral:rRNA from 1 species